AAACCCUGGAAGCCGACAACGGUCUUCGAAACGGUCGCAAAAGGAGGGGGGCGAUGGCGGGGUUUUCUAGUCGCAGAGAGGAAGAAAGCGGCGCUGGGUUGAGUAGGGAGAGCGCGUGAAGGAUGCAGAUCUUCGUGAAGACCCUCACGGGAAAGACCAUAACCCUAGAGGUCGAGAGCAGCGACACGAUCGACAACGUCUAGGAGGGGAUUCCGCCGAAUCAGCAGAGGCUGAUCUUUCCAGGGAAGCAGCUCGAGGAAGGAACAUCCAAAAAGAGUCGACGCUGCAUCUUGUGCUGAGGCUGAGGGGAGGAAUCCUCGAGCCUUCUCUUAUGGCUCUUGCCGGGAAGUACAACCAGGAAGAGAUGAGCUGCAGAAAGUGGAACGUGUUCUUGGAUCAUCUGUUGGCCAUCAGAAGUAAGAAUGACACAAGUGAUUCCAAAGUCCCGCAGUGUUUAUAGAAGACACAGUCUCAUUCCAUAAAAUUGCUGAACAGGAUUUUCUUCAAAAGGUUUUAUUGGUCAAUUGUUGUACGGGUGUUAUGCACGGUAGCAUCCAAAGGUCUCUGUUUCAAGAUUUAACGUUGCAUGCACGUUUAGCCUAUAUGACACAGUUCGUCAGGAGACAAGAAACAAUCCGUGUGUGUGUGUGAAUUCUUUGGCAUCGUCGAGUCUUUUCCCGUGUGACUGUGUGUGUGUACACAAUAUUGUUGACCCAAGAAACAAUCCGGCUAGCUAGAUUAGUCGCAGCAGCAGAUGAUAUGCAAUAUUGUUGACCCAAGAAACAAUCUGGCCAGCUAGAUUAGUCGCAGCAGCAGAUGAUACGCAAUAUUGUUGACCCAAGAAAAAAUCUGGCUAGCUAGAUUAGUCGCAGCAGAUGUUACGCAAUAUUGUUGACCCAAGAAACAAUCGACACUCAUGACCCAGUGGUCUCCGAAGGGGAAAGAGUAACACAAUUCUUCCACAAAAGGCUCGUGCCAGAGAGACGUACUUGCAACACCAGCUUCGAUCUUCCGACCGGUGGCAACAUCGGUCGUGAAUGCUGUAGCAAUUGUGCUCUCUCAUCAUUGCCAUAGAUUGCACUUCCAAAAGCAGAAAUGGCACUGCAGGGCUUCGACCGCAGAGCAUAGAUCCCUUGGGGAACAAAAUCAUGUCGCCUCUUCAUACUGUCCAUGAAUCCGACUUCGAGAUAGCCUUUGACGAUGAAUGAUAGCUCAGGUGAGCAGGGUUGGUGUAAAGAAUUCUGCCGAGACGCUUUGCCCCGAGAAUUCUGCCAUGGUGGCUUCACACACUCGAAUGCCAGCAACGGUAGUGAAUCGGCGGCUGCCGCUGACAGAAGUGGUGCUUUCCGGAAGGAUGAGAUCAGUCUGAGAUGAUGUUGGUGUCACCUGUGAAGGCAAAACAUUGUAAGAAUAUUUAGAUGAUCAAGACUAGCAGAGUUGACAGGUCAACAUGCACUGAUAAAUCAGACAAACUAUGCAUUGCAGUCUGUGCUAAUGUACUUUUAAAACCCAUAAUGCUAGAAUUUAGAUUCCCUUCUAAUGUAGUAAAUAUAUCAGACAUUUCAGCAAAUAAAAUGUUUGUUUAAUCUUGCUUUA